GAUGAACGCUGGCGGCGUGCCUAAUACAUGCCAGUCGAGCGAACGGACGAGAAGCUUGCUUCUCUGAUGUUAGCGGCGGACGGGUGAGUAACACGUGGAUAACCUACCUAUAAGACUGGGAUAACUUCGGGAAACCGUAGCUAAUACCGGAUAAUAUUUUGAACCGCAUGGUUCAAAAGUGAAAGACGGUCUUGCUGUCACUUAUAGAUGGAUCCGCGCUGCAUUAGCUAGUUGGUAAGGUAACGGCUUACCAAGGCAACGAUGCAUAGCCGACCUGAGAGGGUGAUCGGCCCCACUGGAACUGAGACACGGUCCAGACUCCUACGGGAGGCAGCAGUAGGGAAUCUUCCGCAAUGGGCGAAAGCCUGACGGAGCAACGCCGCGUGAGUGAUGAAGGUCUUCGGAUCGUAAAACUCUGUUAUUAGGGAAGAACAUAUGUGUAAGUAACUGUGCACAUCUUGACGGUACCUAAUCAGAAAGCCACGGCUAACUACGUG
rnacentral:rRNA from 1 species